GAGGAGCAGGACCCUUUUCCACGAACGCUCUGGUACAUUUCCUGAACCUGAGGAUCAGAUACAACAGAACCGGCAAGAAACAAGUGUUGAACUGAUUGCAAGUGAGGAACACCAAGAUGAAACCAGGAUGGCGACUGCAGAUGAGGGUUGUCACGAAUCGACACCUUUGACUGAAGCCACUGGAACUGAUACA